UACGAAGGGGGCUAGCGUUGUUCGGAAUUACUGGGCGUAAAGCGCGCGCAGGCGGUUUUUCAAGUCAGUGGUGAAAGCCCGGAGCUCAACUCCGGAAAUGCCAUUGAAACUGUUAAACUUGAGGAUGAGAGAGGUGAGUGGAAUUCCCAGUGUAGAGGUGAAAUUCGUAGAUAUUCGGAAGAACACCAGUGGCGAAGGCGGCUCACUGGACCGGUAUUGACGCUGAGGUGCGAAAGCGUGGGGAGCAAGCAGG
rnacentral:rRNA from 1 species